rnacentral:tRNA from 2 species
AGCCUUGUAUUCAACAAUGAUUUUGAAUUGCAAAUUCAAAGGUGAAGCUAUUAGCUUUUAAGGCUU